UACGUAGGUGGCAAGCGUUUGUCCGGAUUUACUGGGCGUAAAGAGCGCGCAGGCGGUCGUUCAAGUCGCGUGUGAAAGCCCCCGGCUCAACUGGGGAGGGUCACGCGAUACUGAUCGACUCGAAGGCAGGAGAGGGAAGUGGAAUUCCCGGUGUAGUGGUGAAAUGCGUAGAUAUCGGGAGGAACACCAGUGGCGAAGGCGACUUCCUGGCCUGUUCUUGACGCUGAGGCGCGAAAGCUAGGGGAGCAAACGGGG
rnacentral:rRNA from 1 species